rnacentral:lncRNA from 1 species
UGGCAGUUGGCGGUGGUUGCUGGCAAAGCAGGUGAGCAGAAGACCAAGUGUGGUUGCGGUGCUACGCUAGGAAGGGCGGCUAGGUUUUUUUUUGUUUCUUUCUUUUUUGUUUUUUGGCUGAAAAUAGUUUAGGUUUUGGGCUUGUUAGGCCAUUAGGGUUUUAAUUUAUUUGGGCUGAUGUUUGGGUCAUGGGUGUUGGGUUACUGUUUAGGUGGGUUGAGGUUUGGGUGUAUGUAUUUUGUUUGUUUGUAAUGGGCCCGGGUGAAAUUGGGCUUCUACAGUUUAGGAUUGGGAGAAAUAAGGGGUUUAGCAAUGUUUUUUUUGGUCUUUUAGGAUUUCUUUUUCCGUGUUUUGAUUUUUUUUAUUCUGUUGUGAAUUUCUUUUGGGAGGGGCCUUUAGAGGUUUAUUUAGUGGGAUCAAAUGUUUAAAUUUUUACGUGUGCUCAUAUUGUCUUGUGGAGCGAAAAAUCUAUCCAAACAAAAAAUGAGUGUGCCUAAAUUGACAUUUCCUUUUUUUAUUCAGACAAAGAUUCCACCUUAAAC